rnacentral:rRNA from 1 species
AGUGAACGCUGGCGGCAUGCCUAACACAUGCAAGUCGAGCGGCAGCGGGUCCGUCGGGAUGCCGGCGAGCGGCGGACGGGUGAGGAAUGCAUCGGAAUCUGCCCUGUCGUGGGGGAUAACCUAGGGAAACUUAGGCUAAUACCGCAUCCGACCCACGGGUGAAAGCGGGGGAUCGCAAGACCUCGCGCGAUAGGAUGCGCCGAUGUCCGAUUAGCUUGUUGGCGGGGUAAAGGCCCACCAAGGCGACGAUCGGUAGCUGGUCUGAGAGGAUGAUCAGCCACACUGGGACUGAGACACGGCCCAGACUCCUACGGGAGGCAGCAGAGGGGAAUAUUGGACAAUGGGCGCAAGCCUGAUCCAGCCAUGCCGCGUGGGUGAAGAAGGCCUUCGGGUUGUAAAGCCCUUUUGUCCGGGAAGAAAUCGUCUGGGCUAAUACCCCGGGCGGAUGACGGUACCGGAAGAGUAAGCACCGGCUAACUUCGUG